UGUGUGUGUGUGUGUGUGUGUGUGUGUGUGUGUGUGUCAGACUCCUCCACUCUGUGAUUUACAACAGGACUGCGAGUGCCUUCAUCAGGAGCUCCAGCAAACAUUAACAGACACGACCAGAGGAAACCGCUACACACUCGCUGUGAUCAUGUCGUGUGGCUCAUGUUUCUGGGCUGUGAUCUGGCUGCUGGUGCUGCUGAUUCUCGGCUGGCCCCUGAGCAUCAUGUUGGGGGGUCUCUACGGCCUCAUCGCCCCGCUCACCGUCUGCUUGGGCCUGGACCGGCUGGCUGACCUGCUGAUGGAGGGAGCCAACCUGGGCCGAAAGUGCGCUCUGAACAUGAGGCACGGGAAACCCCUGUGCUGAAAACACCUCGAGAAGACCUGCUGGAGUCUGAGCUGCCCAAAUCUCUGUGUUUUCGACAUCUUCUACAAUGUACGCUUGAUUCUUAGCGACAUGAUGCUUCUGUAAAGCCUCGGUGAUCUUUUCUUGCUUUCAUUCUCUGUAGCUGAUGCUCUCAGCGCUGUUAAAUAUUAAAAUUUAAAGACUCUUUCAGUA